GGGGAAACCCUGAUGCAGCAACGCCGCGUGAAGGAUGAAGGUUUUCGGAUUGUAAACUUCUUUAGUCAGGGACGAAACAAAUGACGGUACCUGAAGAAUAAGCCACGGCUAACUACGCGCCAGCAGCCGCGGUAAUACGUAGGUGGCGAGCGUUGUCCGGAAUUACUGGGUGUAAAGGGCGUGUAGGCGGGAAUGUAAGUCAGAUGUGAAAUCCCAGGGCUCAACCCUGGAGCUGCAUCUGAAACUAUGUUUCUUGAGUGUCGGAGAGGAAAGCGGAAUUCCUAGUGUAGCGGUGAAAUGCGUAGAUAUUAGGAGGAACACCAGUGGCGAAGGCGACUUUCUGGACUGUGUCUGACACUGAGGCGCGAAAGCCAGGGUAGUGAACGGGAUUAGAUACCCCGGUAAUCCUGGCCGUAAACGAUGGGUACUAGGUGUUGGGGGUAUCGACCCCUCCAGUGCCGGAGUUAACGCAAUAAGUACCCCGCCUGGGGAGUACG
rnacentral:rRNA from 1 species